GACGAACGCUGGCGGCGUGCCUAAUACAUGCAAGUCGAAAGCAGGUGGGAAGGGUGAGUAACACGUGGGUAACCUCCCAUCAGAGGGGAAAACACUUGGAAACAGGUGCUAAACCGAUAAGGAUGGAUGGAACCGCGGUGCAUUAGCUAGUUGGUGAGGUAACGGCUCACCAAGGCCACGAUGCAUAGCCGACCUGAGAGGGUGAUCGGCCAAACGGGGAAUUGUACACGGCCCAGACUCCUACGGGAAGCAGCAGUAGGGACUCGUCGGCAAUGGCCGAAAUUGUGACCUAGCAACGCCGCGUGCGUGAAGAAGGUUUUCGGAUCGUAAAACUCUGUUGUUAGAGAAGCGGUAUCUAACCAGAAAGCCUCGGCUAACGACGUGCCAGCAGCCGCGGUAAUUC
rnacentral:rRNA from 1 species